CAGGGAGGCUUACAAAAUGGUAUAGGAUAUC
rnacentral:piRNA from 1 species